CUUAUGGCACCGGAGGAGUCUCUGGCUCCGUGUGGACCCCAGGUGUAGAAGUUCCUCUCAGACUGUGUUUGGCAGCCCUCAGUGCCCACCUGUUUCUGUGCCUUGUGUGGAAGAAAGCCAAGCCCUGGGACAAAGCCAGGUCCUGGAGGAUCCAGCUGUUGACUCACUAACCAACGACAUGUUCCAGGCAGCAUGCCUGCUCUGUGAAUUUUCUGACAGUGGACGGAUGUGACCUGCCUGCAGAUACACUCCAUGUGUCUGCAGUUCCCCAAGAAAUACCCCACUGCUUCCUUUUUUCCCCUUUUCUUUUAAUAGGAGUCUGACAGGGAGAGGAAUAGAGUGAGGGA
rnacentral:lncRNA from 1 species